GACGAACGCUGGCGGCGUGCUUAACACAUGCAAGUCGAACGGUGAAGCGCCUUCCUUUUUGGUUGGUGUGGAUGAGUGGCGAACGGGUGAGUAACACGUGAGUAACCUGCCCCCUUCUUCUGGAUAACCGCAUGAAAGUGUGGCUAAUACGGGAUAUUCUGGGUCUGUCGCAUGAUGGGUCUGGGAAAGAUAUUGUUUCGGUGGGGGAUGGGCUCGCGGCCUAUCAGCUUGUUGGUGGGGUGAUGGCCUACCAAGGCGGUGACGGGUAGCCGGCCUGAGAGGGUGGACGGCCACACUGGGACGGAGACACGGCCCAGACUCCUGCGGGAGGCAGCAGUGGGGAAUAUUGCACAAUGGGCGCAAGCCUGAUGCAGCGACGCCGCGUGAGGGAUGGAGGCCUUCGGGUUGUGAACCUCUUUCGCCAGUGAAGCAGGCCUGCCUCGUUUGUGGGUGGGUUGACGGUAGCUGGAUAAGAAGCGCCGGCUAACUACGUG
rnacentral:rRNA from 1 species